ACCAAAUGGGAUGCGGGGUCGGAGGAGCGUGGGGAGGAUGAGCCUGGGGACUGAAUUCUAUCCAUACACCCAUCUUCCCCUCCUGCUCCCAACAGAAUAAGACCUCCUUGAGGUCAGGGAUUUUUGUUCUUGUCUUUGUGGCCCAAGACCUGGCAUGCGAUUGCAAGGCCAACCUCUUUUGAGCAUCUAUGGACUUCACUGGGGAACCCUCUGAUGUUCUGAGCUUGCGGCAGUCAGGAUAGCUACACGUACAAGCUGGGGGAUUUGGAGGAUUCCACCAAUGACUUUCUCUUCCAUCUGGACUAGUCAAAGGGCAUCUUCCAUGACAGCAGCAUGCACCUUUGGUAAGUAUACAUCUAUCUCCCCAUUUCAUGCCUCCCAGAAUAGGCUUUUUUGUGGUUGUAUUUGUUAAGGAAAUUCCAGUGAUCUUAACAUAUCCAGGUGUUCUUUGUGAGAGGAGAGCUUUUAAGGCCGUUUUCUUUUAUAGAGUUAAUGAAUUUCUCCAUCCUGGGGGUUCUCAAAGUAUACCGAGGGGACCCCAAGUCCCUUUUAAGGGAUCCAUGUUGUCAAAAUUAUUUUCAUAAUACUAAUGCUUUAAUUCCUAAUAUGAUAAAUGCUGAUAGAUAUAACCAACAAACAUAGGUCUUGGUGGGUUGGGUGUGUAUAUGGAUCCUCAAUAAUUUUUAAGAGUAUAAGGAGGGUUCUAAGAUCAGCUGUUAGCAAAGGCCUUCUCUUGCCUUUUCAUGUCUCCAUUAAAGAUACCCUAGGUAAAUGUGGCACUUAUUCUGAUGAUGACUUCAUAAGAUGGAGAAAGCAGGAAUAUGAGUAGUUAUAGAGCAGUGAUGUCAAACCUUUUAGAGAUGGGAAUGCUGGGCCUCUCUCACCCUACCCCCCAGACCGUGCUGUUCCUGUCCCCCCCCAUACAGGGGAGAAAGUGUUCCAAUUGGGCAGAGAGGAGGGGGAGGUAAGGAAUGUCCCCACACAGAGGAGGGAGGGUAACAGCUCUGUCCCAAGUCACUCUUGCUCUCUAGUAUGGUGGGCGACUACAGACAUGCCCACAGAGGGGCUCUGUGUGCCCUUUUGAACACAUGUGCCUUAGGAUCACCAUCACUGUUCUAGAGAUUUUCCUUCCUCAGAUUGUUCAAUGUUUGCAAAAUUGCAUCAGCUCCAGAACAAAUCUCCUCUUUAUGACUUGGACAUUUUCUUUUCAUCUUUUUUUCUUUAAAAAUAAAAAUCCUUACCUUUUGUCUUAGACUCAACACUAAGUAUUGAUCCCAAGGCCAGAAGAGUGGUAAGAGCUAGGAAAUGGGGGUUAAGUGACUUGCCCCAGGUCACACAGCUAGGAAGUGUCUGAGGUAAGAUUUGAACCCAGGACCUCCCGUCUCCAGGCUUGGCUCUCAAUCCAUGGAGUCUCCUAGCUGCCCCCAGACUUCAAUAUUUUCUGUGUCAUUUUAACUUACUUGUGUUAAAGGGGCAUGAACAUGGUGAUGAUGGCCUAAAUUCCCAUCCAGCAUGGUCAUAUAGAUAGACCCUCAUAAGAGGGAGAAUGUCACCCCAUCCCUAAAGGUAGCUAGGUAAGGGAAACAGAGCCUACCUCGCCUGGUAAGAGAAUUAGAAAGCUGUCCAAUUGUAGCAAACACCUGUUUCCCUUACUUUCUGGGUUCUUCUAGGCCAAAGGCCCUCAAACCUUUUUUUGAUAACUAUUUUGAUUUAAUUGGUUUCCUUUAUAAUAUAUAUUUAUUUACAAACUUACCACUACUUUGAGAACAGGUCCAUAGGCUUCAUCAGCCUGCCAAAGGGGUCCCUGCCACACAAAAAGCCAAGAACCCUUGUUCUAGGCUCAGCUUAAGGUGUUAAAAUGUAUGACUUCUCUGCCAAUCAUAUUUUAUAAUUCCAUCACAAAUCUGGAUCACAGUGUUGGAGCAGCAAACCAUUUUUUUAUUGCAAACAUGACUCACAGCUGAAGAGGCCUUCCUCUAAGACCCCUACAAGUGAAGGCAAGGACACCCGGGCAGUAAGGAACCAUUUGGCCCGAGGCCAGAAAUCCUGCAAUUUCUCAGAAAAUAUCCUAGGACUAUUCUAUGGCCCCUCUCUCAGUGUUUCAGGGCCCUCCUCCUAGACAUUCAGAGUCCAGAGAAAGCCACCAGGGCAGGCUGGCAGAGAA